GUGAUGUCUUCCAACCUUGCUGGAGGGGACCUUUACAGAAGGUACCGUCUCCUUCCUGGAUGUCACAACAAGUCUACAGACCUGAAAGCAAAGUUAAUCAGACAAAGUUCAGGAUAAUGAAGCAGAUGAAAUCUGUUGUGAACGGCUUUCCCAAGAUUCUGGACCGCAUGGACCGUCUAGUGCAGGAGUCUCUAGCCUCCAGGAUCUAAUGCCUGAUGACCUGAGGUGGAGCUGAUGUAAUAAUAAUAAUAGAAAUAAAGUGCACAAGUGUAAUGCACUUGAAUAAUCACAAAACUGGUCCCUGGUGCUAAAAAGGUUGAGAACUGCUGAAUGUCAUACAAUAAGUCAUAUGAAAAAAACAAAUAAUUGCUAUGAAUGACCUAAUACCAGGUCUUGGAGAAAUACUAAAAGGAAUAAUGAUAGCUAGACAUCUGGAGAUGACUGACCACUCCAAUAAGAUUCUUCCUAAUAAAGCUUUUUGAACUUUUCUUAUUUUGAGUGCCUCUGAAGUCUCACUUCCUAGAUUACUCCUUGUUGCUCAAAUAUGGCCAUAAACUUUCUAAAACCGUAUCUUUCACAUAGACACCUUUUUCCCUCCUCUGUGUGACAAGACUCUCUGGGAAGAGCCUUCCUAGCACAGGGGAAGUUGAUGCUGAUCUCAAAUAACCAGAUGGUUGAUCAUUGAUGCCUCCCAAAGAAAGAUCUUGAUCAAAAGGGGGAAAUGGGAAAGAAAAGUCAAAAUGGAGUAGGUAUUGCUAAGAGAGGUCACUAAGAUGGAGCUGAAAGGCCAUUGAGGAAACAGGACUUGUGCAUAUCUCAGCCUGGAGGGAAACUGAACUUUGACCAUUUUUGUCUUAACACAGGCAUCCAGAACAUCUGCCAGAAAUUCAAGAUACUUAUUGACCUUACCCCAAAACAACUAGUGGCAGUUUAUUCCUUAAUAGCAAAUGCUUCUUUAUGUCAGAGUCAAUGACAAGUCUCACCCAAACACAAAACUGUCACAACCUUGUGACUUUUGUCUUGUAAGCCUGAUUCAUUUUCUUCUCCUGAGCACUCUUUUGGUUUUCACCUAAAUCUAUGUCUCCUGAACUGCAAUUCUUAAUACCCUAACGAAGUCUUUGUAUGUAACCCAGAAGCACAUUUGCAGAACAUUUAUUAUGUCACCUUUUGCCCUACCUCCAGUUACUUUUAUCCCACAACUAAGACUGUUACCAAACUGAACUUGGGUCCACUUACCUCCUGUGCAGCAAAAACAAUUUAUUAACACCUGGUUGUAGUGAUGAAAGGGCUUCCCUGGUAGCUCAGCUGGUAAAGAAUCCGCC
ensembl:lncRNA